rnacentral:tRNA from 1 species
GAAGACAUAGCUCAAUUGGUUAGUGCGCACGUUUGGGAAGCUGUUGACCCGGGUUCGAGUCCCGUGGUCAGUA